CGCACAUUUAACUGUACAGUUGUUUAACAUCAUACCGUUUGUUCAGCUAUGGAAACAUUCAUCUGAGAAACACUUUCAAAACUCCAUAAAACAGUUUUAAUAGUUGUGAAAAUUACACGAUCUGGCCUUUGUGUGUCAUGUAAAGACUAUCGACAGUCAGCCAUCACAGCUUCGCGUCUGACCUGAUUAAGCUCUAUAACCUCUAUAUUGACCAAUUAUUAUUGUCAAAUGAUGCUAAGCCAGACCAAAAACCACCUGCAAAACCGUCCCUCAGCCUAGCUAGUCUUUCAAAGAGGCUAAAUACUGAUUGAGGGUUUAAAAAUAACAAACAAUGUACUUUGAAACCCUUUCGAUCAUAGAAGGAUUUAUUAUAUGAAUUAUUUUAUCGACACAUAUUUUUCGUUUUAUGGUUAUGUAAUAAUAGGCCUACCCGGAAUAAUACCUUCGGACAUGCGCACAUAAAAAUAAAUAAAUAAAAAUAACGACCACCUACAGUGGAUAUUCAGAUGUUUACAAGAAACAAAGUUAUGAUUAAUACGUGGAAUAUUAAUAUGUGUGAUUAAUGGCAUAAAGUUAAUGCAUUGCAUGACAUUCUUACUGAAAUAUUUGUUAGAUUUAUCACUUUUAUGCAGGUAGCCUAUUAAAGAAAAUAUAUUGCAGGCUUUAUAUGCGCGCUUCACGCGUAGGCUGAUCAAUCCCUGCAGGCUUUAGAGCGAAACAACAUUCAGUGCUACAUUCGUAAACAUGCUUCCACUUUUCACCUCGCAGACACUUUAAACCCAGCCUGAUUAAACCGCUCACUAACUGCAGGGACAGUCCCAGUGUGGAAAGACGCACAUUAUGCUGUUGAAAUGACCUCCCAGAUGGGAUAAGCUGCUGUAAAUGGACUCGAACUACCAGUCCUGUGCAGUUUCUGGUUUCUCCAAACCGUGGUGUAGCUGAAAGUGCCCAGAUGGAUGAUGUUCGUCACGUCAGCAGGAUCAUAACCAUCAAGCAACAAAUCAGACGCAACAUCGAGCUCGACUCUUCAGGAUCACACAUAACUCCUUCUCCCAGCAAGGCUCACAGAUGUUCUGGAGAGACAUUUCUAUCAGUCCAUGAAGCGUUCCAGUGUACACACUGGCGGUGUUGGAGAUCAUGGUUCGUUCAGAGCGCGUUUGAGGAGCUGUCAUGUGUUUGUGAGGACGAAUCCAAGGCAAAGAAAGACCCCUGUAACUGCUGUGUUCUUCAAAGCACUGGAGAUUAUCAGAUAAAGUUUGUGAUGGAUUUCGUCGUGACCCCCGCUGAUAAUUCCAGUGAUGUAGUUUAACUCAUCUCUAACAUUUAAAUGCAGCUCUUGACUCACCGGCUUUGUGGCUGGGAUAAUGUUCAGUCAUUAUGUUGAAUAAACCCCUGCUGGAUGAUCAGGACCCUGAGACUGAGAGGACCUGAAUCAUUUUGACAGGGUUUAGUGUGUGAUAAUAUCCUGCUUAUUACUUACCACAUAAUGCCUAAUGCCUAGAAAUAUUGUUAUGUGAAAAUAAUGAGACCACAGCACACAAGACAUAUGAUUUUCUUUUUAAUCCACAGUAACGUAUAAAAAAAAAGAAAACCAAGAUAGAAAAAAGAUUACCAGGGACAACUGUCAAAUACAUAAUUUAGUGAUUAAAAAUAUUUACACUACUGUUCAAAGGUUUGGAUUGUAAGAUUUAUUUAAAUGUUUUUGAAAGAAGUCUUUUACACUCACCGAGGCUGCAUUUAUUUGAUAAAGAAUACAGUAAAAACAGUAUUAUUGUGAAAUAUUAUUAUAUUUUCAAAUAACUGUUUUCUAUUUUAACAUAUUUCAAAAUGUAAUUUAUUGCUGUGAUGCAAAGCUGAAUUUCCAGUCUUCAGUGAUCCUUCAGAAAUCAUCAAAUAUGCUGAUUCGCUGCUCAUUUCUUAUUAUUACCAAUGUUAAAAACAGUUUGCUGCUCAAUAUUUAUGUGGAAACUGUGAUAUAUUUUUAACAGUGAUAGUUGUUUGAAGAAUAGAAAGUUCAAAAGAUCAGUAUUUAUUUGAAAAGGAAAUCUUUCAAGAGGGUCUGGCUGCAGACUUGCACUCUCAGACUUGCAUUCUCAGACUUGCACUCUCAGACUGGUGACCCUUCCCCAGGACUGGUUGGCCUACCAAAAUUACCAAGAGGGUCUGGCUGCAGACUUGCACUCUCAGACUUGCAUUCUCAGACUUGCACUCUCAGACACUUGCACUUCUGCUAGCGACCUCACUUGCAGUCUUAAUUUUUUUUUUGUUCUAUUUAUUGAUAACUCUUGUUUGAAUCUCUCAACAUUAUUAUACUACAUAUUGGCACAUAAAAAUGAUGAAAUAUCACGUUUCCUUGUUUAAUUCAAAAAAAAAGUUACUCACAUUAAAUAGCGCCUCUCUAUGCCAUUUUAGAACAAAUGCAUACACUACCAUUCAAAAGUUUUUAAUUAAGUUGAAAUAAGUCUCUUAUGCUCACCAAGGCUGUAUUUAUUUGCUGAAAAAUGCAGUGAAAAAACAGCAAUAUUUUGAAAUAUUAUUACAAUUUGAAAAGACAAUUUUCUAUUUGAAUAUAUUUAAAAAUGUAAUUUAUUGCUGUGAUGCAAAGCUGAAUUUCCAGUCUUCAGUGAUCCUUCAGAAAUCAUCAAAUAUGCUGAUUCGCUGCUCAUUUCUUAUUAUUACCAAUGUUAAAAACAGUUUGCUGCUCAAUAUUUAUGUGGAAACUGUGAUAUAUUUUUAACAGUGAUAGUUGUUUGAAGAAUAGAAAGUUCAAAAGAUCAGUAUUUAUUUGAAAAGGAAAUCUUUCAAGAGGGUCUGGCUGCAGACUUGCACUCUCAGACUUGCAUUCUCAGACUUGCACUCUCAGACACUUGCACUUCCACUAGCGACGUCACUUGCAGUCUUUAUUUUUUUCCUAUUUAUUGAUAACUUUUUGUUUGAAUCUCUCAACAUUUUAUAAACUGUUAAUAAACUGUGUUAAAAACUGUGUAUUUA
rnacentral:lncRNA from 1 species